AUGGUGACCGGGGGCCCUGACGCGCGAUCCGCGUCCCGGCCGCCGGGACCGCGCCGAGUCAUCGGCGGGACCGACCCGUGACUGC
rnacentral:ncRNA from 1 species